rnacentral:rRNA from 1 species
CCUACGGGAGGCAGCAGUGGGGAAUAUUGGACAAUGGGGGGAACCCUGAUCCAGCCAUGCCGCGUGUGUGAAGAAGGCCCUCGGGUUGUAAAGCACUUUCAGUGAGGAAGAACGCCUGGUGGUUAAUACCCAUCAGGAAAGACAUCACUCACAGAAGAAGCACCGGCUAACUCCGUGCCAGCAGCCGCGGUAAUACGGAGGGUGCGAGCGUUAAUCGGAAUUACUGGGCGUAAAGCGCGCGUAGGUGGCUUGAUAAGCCGGUUGUGAAAGCCCCGGGCUCAACCUGGGAACGGCAUCCGGAACUGUCAAGCUAGAGGGCAGGAGAGGAAGGUAGAAUUCCCGGUGUAGCGGUGAAAUGCGUAGAGUUCGGGAGGAAUACCAGUGGCGAAGGCGGCCUUCUGGACUGACACUGACACUGAGGUGCGAAAGCGUGGGUAGCAAACAGGAUUAGAUACCCCAGUAGUC